rnacentral:rRNA from 1 species
GACGAACGCUGGCGGCGUGCUUAACACAUGCAAGUCGAACGGAAAGGCCCCCACCUUGGUGGGGGUGCUCGAGUGGCGAACGGGUGAGUAACACGUGGGUGAUCUGCCCUGUACUUCGGGAUAAGCUUGGGAAACUGGGUCUAAUACCGGAUAGGACCAUGGUUUAGUGUCUCAUGGUGGAAAAAUUAUUGUUUUGGUGCAGGAUGAGCUCGCGGCCUAUCAGCUUGUUGGUGGGGUAAUGGCCUACCAAGGCGUCGACGGGUAGCCGGCCUGAGAGGGUGGACGGCCACAUUGGGACUGAGAUACGGCCCAGACUCCUACGGGAGGCAGCAGUGGGGAAUAUUGCACAAUGGGCGCAAGCCUGAUGCAGCGACGCCGCGUGGGGGAUGACGGCCUUCGGGUUGUAAACUCCUUUCGUUAGGGACGAAGCCACACCCUUUUUGGGUGUGGUGACGGUACCUUUGUUAAGAAGCACCGGCUAACUACGUG